CUGUGAGCUCGAUGAGUAGGGCGGGACACGUGGUAUCCUGUCUGAAUAUGGGGGGACCAUCCUCCAAGGCUAAAUACUCCUGACUGACCGAUAGUGAACCAGUACCGUGAGGGAAAGGCGAAAAGAACCCCGGCGAGGGGAGUGAAAAAGAACCUGAAACCGUGUACGUACAAGCAGUGGGAGCCUCUUAAUGGGGUGACUGCGUACCUUUUGUAUAAUGGGUCAGCGACUUAUAUUCUGUAGCAAGGUUAACCGAAUAGGGGAGCCGAAGGGAAACCGAGUCUUAACUGGGCGUUAAGUUGCAGGGUAUAGACCCGAAACCCGGUGAUCUAGCCAUGGGCAGGUUGAAGGUUGGGUAACACUAACUGGAGGACCGAACCGACUAAUGUUGAAAAAUUAGCGGAUGACUUGUGGCUGGGGGUGAAAGGCCAAUCAAACCGGGAGAUAGCUGGUUCUCCCCGAAAGCUAUUUAGGUAGCGCCUCGUGAAUUCAUCUCCGGGGGUAGAGCACUGUUUCGGCAAGGGGGUCAUCCCGACUUACCAACCCGAUGCAAACUGCGAAUACCGGAGAAUGUUAUCACGGGAGACACACGGCGGGUGCUAACGUCCGUCGUGAAGAGGGAAACAACCCAGACCGCCAGCUAAGGUCCCAAAGUCAUGGUUAAGUGGGAAACGAUGUGGGAAGGCCCAGACAGCCAGGAUGUUGGCUUAGAAGCAGCCAUCAUUUAAAGAAAGCGUAAUAGCUCACUGGUCGAGUCGGCCUGCGCGGAAGAUGUAACGGGGCUAAACCAUGCACCGAAGCUGCGGCAGCGACACUAUGUGUUGUUGGGUAGGGGAGCGUUCUGUAAGCCUGUGAAGGUGUACUGUGAGGUAUGCUGGAGGUAUCAGAAGUGCGAAUGCUGACAUAAGUAACGAUAAAGCGGGUGAAAAGCCCGCUCGCCGGAAGACCAAGGGUUCCUGUCCAACGUUAAUCGGGGCAGGGUGAGUCGACCCCUAAGGCGAGGCCGAAAGGCGUAGUCGAUGGGAAACAGGUUAAUAUUCCUGUACUUGGUGUUACUGCGAAGGGGGGACGGAGAAGGCUAUGUUGGCCGGGCGACGGUUGUCCCGGUUUAAGCGUGUAGGCUGGUUUUCCAGGCAAAUCCGGAAAAUCAAGGCUGAGGCGUGAUGACGAGGCACUACGGUGCUGAAGCAACAAAUGCCCUGCUUCCAGGAAAAGCCUCUAAGCAUCAGGUAACAUCAAAUCGUACCCCAAACCGACACAGGUGGUCAGGUAGAGAAUACCAAGGCGCUUGAGAGAACUCGGGUGAAGGAACUAGGCAAAAUGGUGCCGUAACUUCGGGAGAAGGCACGCUGAUAUGUAGGUGAAGUCCCUCGCGGAUGGAGCUGAAAUCAGUCGAAGAUACCAGCUGGCUGCAACUGUUUAUUAAAAACACAGCACUGUGCAAACACGAAAGUGGACGUAUACGGUGUGACGCCUGCCCGGUGCCGGAAGGUUAAUUGAUGGGGUUAGCGGUAACGCGAAGCUCUUGAUCGAAGCCCCGGUAAACGGCGGCCGUAACUAUAACGGUCCUAAGGUAGCGAAAUUCCUUGUCGGGUAAGUUCCGACCUGCACGAAUGGCGUAAUGAUGGCCAGGCUGUCUCCACCCGAGACUCAGUGAAAUUGAACUCGCUGUGAAGAUGCAGUGUACCCGCGGCAAGACGGAAAGACCCCGUGAACCUUUACUAUAGCUUGACACUGAACAUUGAGCCUUGAUGUGUAGGAUAGGUGGGAGGCUUUGAAGUGUGGACGCCAGUCUGCAUGGAGCCGGCCUUGAAAUACCACCCUUUAAUGUUUGAUGUUCUAACGUUGGCCCCUGAUCGGGGUUGCGGACAGUGUCUGGUGGGUAGUUUGACUGGGGCGGUCUCCUCCUAAAGAGUAACGGAGGAGCACGAAGGUUGGCUAAUCCUGGUCGGACAUCAGGAGGUUAGUGCAAUGGCAUAAGCCAGCUUGACUGCGAGCGUGACGGCGCGAGCAGGUGCGAAAGCAGGUCAUAGUGAUCCGGUGGUUCUGAAUGGAAGGGCCAUCGCUCAACGGAUAAAAGGUACUCCGGGGAUAACAGGCUGAUACCGCCCAAGAGUUCAUAUCGACGGCGGUGUUUGGCACCUCGAUGUCGGCUCAUCACAUCCUGGGGCUGAAGUAGGUCCCAAGGGUAUGGCUGUUCGCCAUUUAAAGUGGUACGCGAGCUGGGUUUAGAACGUCGUGAGACAGUUCGGUCCCUAUCUGCCGUGGGCGCUGGAGAACUGAGGGGGGCUGCUCCUAGUACGAGAGGACCGGAGUGGACGCAUCACUGGUGUUCGGGUUGUCAUGCCAAUGGCACUGCCCGGUAGCUAAAUGCGGAAGAGAUAAGUGCUGAAAGCAUCUAAGCACGAAACUUGCCCCGAGAUGAGUUCUCCCUGACUCCUUGAG
rnacentral:rRNA from 1 species